AUUGAACGCUGGCGGCAGGCUUAACACAUGCAAGUCGAGCGAGCGGCGGACGGGAGAGUACUGUCUGGGAAACUGCCUGAUGGAGGGGGCUAAAUACUGGGCACGGUAGCUAAUACCGCAUACCAUCAGAUGUGCCCAACUGGGAUUAGGUAGUAGGUGGGGUAAUGGCUCACCUAGGCGAAGAUCCCUAGCUGGUCUGAGAGGAUGACCAGCAACACUGGAACUGAGACACGGUCCAGACUCCUACGGGAGGCAGCAGUGGGGAAUAUUGCACAAUGGGCGCAAGCCUGAUGCAGCCAUGCCGCGUGUGUGAAGAAGGCCUUCGGGUUGUAAAGCACUUUCAGCGAGGAGGCGUUACUCGCAGAAGAAGCACCGGCUAACUCCGUGCCAGCAGCCGCGGUAAUAC
rnacentral:rRNA from 1 species